UGGGGAAUAUUGGACAAUGGGCGAAAGCCUGAUCCAGCCAUGCCGCGUGUGUGAAGAAGGUCUUCGGAUUGUAAAGCACUUUAAGUUGGGAGGAAGGGCAGUAAGCGAAUACCUUGCUGUUUUGACGUUACCGACAGACUAAGCACCGGCUAACUCUGUGCCAGCAGCCGCGGUAAUACAGAGGGUGCAAGCGUUAAUCGGAAUUACUGGGCGUAAAGCGCGCGUAGGUGGUUCGUUAAGUUGAAUGUGAAAGCCCCGGGCUCAACCUGGGAACUGCAUCCAAAACUGGCGGGCUAGAGUAGGGCAGAGGGUGGUGGAAUUUCCUGUGUAGCGGUGAAAUGCGUAGAUAUAGGAAGGAACACCAGUGGCGAAGGCGACCACCUGGGCUCAUACUGACACUGAGGUGCGAAAGCGUGGGGAGCAAACAGG
rnacentral:rRNA from 1 species